UAAAAGAAAAUCCUCUCAUAGAAUGCUACAAGUUAAAAACUACUUUCUCGACUGCGAUUAUUCUGCAUCUGUCUUGUGUUCUUACAAGAUCUUUAAUUUCUACCUUCAUUCUCUAAUAUUUCUCAAAAACAUGGAGAAUAGUCGUAUCAGCACGUUUUUUACAUGUUUGAUGAUCACCUUUCUGUUAAUAACAACUUUUAUUACAAUGGUGGUAACUGAACCAAAUGUAAUACAGGUUCCGUGUAAAAACGGUUACGUAAAAGUUAAUGGAAAAUGCAGAGAGGUUUUUAAAGGUUAAGAAUUAAAGUUACUGAAGAAAUGACAAUAAUGCAGUUGCAGUUUACAAUUGGAAAACAAUAGAAGCGAUUAUAAGCACAUAUUGUAAAUGAGCAAAUAAAAAUAAACUAUUGUA